rnacentral:tRNA from 1 species
GGGCGGUUAGCUCAGCGGUAGAGCAUCGGUUUUACAAGCCGGGGGUCGCAGGUUCGAGCCCUGCACCGCCCA